rnacentral:rRNA from 1 species
CCUACGGGAGGCAGCAGUAGGGAAUCUUGUGCAAUGGGCGAAAGCCUGACACAGCAACUCCGCGUGCGGGAAGAAGGCCUUAGGGUUGUAAACCGCUUUUGGCAGGAACGAAAAUGACGGUACCUGCAGAAUAAGGUGCGGCCAACUACGUGCCAGCAGCCGCGGUGACACGUAGGCACCAAGCGUUGUCCGGAUUUAUUGGGCGUAAAGAGCUCGUAGGCGGUUCAGUUAGUCGGGUGUGAAAACUCUGGGCUUAACCCGGAGACGCCACUCGAUACUGCUGGGCUAGAAUUCGGUAGGGGAGUGGGGAAUUCCUGGUGUAGCGGUGAAAUGCGCAGAUAUCAGGAGGAACACCGGUGGCGAAGGCGCCACUCUGGGCCGACAUUGACGCUGAGGAGCGAAAGCGUGGGUAGCAAACAGGAUUAGAUACCCUGGUAGUCCACGCCGUAAACGGUGGGCACUAGGUGUGGGUUCCAACCAACGGAAUCCGUGCCGUCGCAAACGCAUUAAGUGCCCCGCCUGGGGAGUACGGCCGCAAGGUUAAACCUUAAGGAAUUGACGG